GUGUCAGCAGCCGCGGUAAAACGUAGGAGACAAACGUUAUCCGGAGUUACUGGGCGUAAAGGGCGUGCAGGCGGUCUGUUAAGUCUGGCGUGAAAGCUCUCGGCUAAACCGGGAGAGGUCGUUGGAUACUGACGGACUAGAGGACGGUAGAGGCGUGUGGAAUUCCGGGUGUAGUGGUGAAAUGCGUAGAGAUCCGGAGGAACACCAGUGGCGAAGGCGACACGCUGGGCCGUACCUGACGCUAAGACGCGACAGCAUGGGGAGCGAACGGGAUUAGAAACCCUCGUAGUCC
rnacentral:rRNA from 1 species